UCCUUUCUCUCAAAUUAAAUGGCGACAACAGACGCUUGUUUUUUCAAACAUCGUUGCCAAAAACUCACCAGUUCCACUGUCUGCAAAACAAGUUCUCAGGUUAAAGCUUUCCCCUUCCUCCUUCGCUCCCUCCAUUCUUGCUUCCUGCUUGCUUCUUCUGCUACAGUUGUUCUGAGAUCCAAAUAAAGAAGCUUCCGAUUUCCUCGCCAUUGCUUUCCCUUUCUACGCUUUUGAAUUCAUUGUUUCUUCCUCAUUAUGCUCCCCACACGCUUCUUUCUCUCCACUCAUUCUCCCAAAUUUGCAACCCAGUCUUUCCGACCAACAAAUUGAUUUCCUCCAGAUCUUUCGAGCUUUAUUUCAUAGUCCGAG
rnacentral:lncRNA from 1 species